rnacentral:misc_RNA from 1 species
CCUCCUUAUACGAUUUAGAACUUAUUUGUUCGUAGUGUCCACACAGAUGAUUGUUAGUUGGUUUUACCCUUUGGGUUAACUAAUUAAUAUGCUCUUUAAAAAUUUGGAAAAGCUGAUAAUAAAAUUCGUAUGAAUAACAUUGUUAUUUGUACAGAGUUUUCAAAAGUAAAAAAGAAUGAUAGCAGUAUCAUUCAGUGCCAAUUUAAUCCUCGGAUUAAUUGGUAUCUACUUUAGUAUUCAAUAUUAACUUCUGGCGAAGUUAAACUGUCACGAAACAAAGACCCGUUUGGGUUGUAUGGUUAAGUGACUAAGCGUACACGGUGG